UACGUAGGGGGCAAGCGUUGUCCGGAAUCAUUGGGCGUAAAGAGCGUGUAGGCGGCUUGGUAAGUCCGCUGUGAAAGUCCAGGGCUCAACCCUGGAAUGCCGGUGGAAACUGUCAGGCUCGAGUCCGGAAGAGGCGAGUGGAAUUCCUGGUGUAGCGGUGAAAUGCGCAGAUAUCAGGAGGAACACCAAUGGCGAAGGCAGCUCGCUGGGACGUGACUGACGCUGAGACGCGAAAGCGUGGGGAGCAAACAGGA
rnacentral:rRNA from 1 species